GACGGCUUGCUGGCGAAGAGGAAAGAAGCGGAGCAGCAAGCGUCAACGUGGGAGCUACUGCAGGGGUCUUCGAUGCUGGGGGUUUGACCGAGGUUUCGGUGGUUACAAACGGUGAAGGGUUCGGCUUUGAGGGCUGAAGGAUGAACGGCAAGUGGCAGUUGCAGGGGGGAAAGAUCGUUGAAGCAGCUUCGUGGCUUCAGUGAUUUUGGUGCGUGGAGAAGACGUGGAGAAGCACGAGCACGAGCUGCAGUCGUGAAGACCGAAGCUGCUGGUGUCUUCAGUGGAUUUCUUCGGUGGGUUGUGGGCUUCAAGGAGUCAACGCCACAAUUUUGCUUGAAGAAUUUUGACCCAUGGAGGCUGGAUGUUGGACAAACGGCAGCAAGGAGGGUUCGGUGGACGAAGAUACAGAAGCAAAUGAGAACAGAAGCAAGCGGCAGGGAAAAUGAAAAAAAAAAAUGAAAGCAAACGGAGAGAGAGAACUCGGUGGAUGGUGAUAUUGAUGAUGAAAGAUGAUGAUGAUGGCAUGGGCUGAAGGAUAUGCGACCAAAAGCAAUUUCGGUGGGGGAUCGUCGUUGCAGAGAGGGAGACCGAAAUGAAGAAGCUCAAAAAUGAAAAGGAAAGUGAAGCGGAAUACCAGG
rnacentral:lncRNA from 1 species